UACAGAGGGUGCAAGCGUUGUUCGGAAUUAUUGGGCGUAAAGCGCGUGUAGGCGGCUUUGCAAGUCGGGUGUGAAAGCCCUCAGCUCAACUGAGGAAGUGCGCCCGAAACUGCAGAGCUUGAGUGCCGGAGAGGGUGGCGGAAUUCCCCAAGUAGAGGUGAAAUUCGUAGAUAUCGGGAGGAACACCGGUGGCGAAGGCGGCGACCUGGGUCGAGACUGACGCUGAGGCGCGAAAGCGUGGGGAGCAAACAGG
rnacentral:rRNA from 1 species